AUGGCUUCGUCCCCCUGCGACAUCGCCCUCAAGGCAGCCCUCGGCGGCCAACUCCGCCUCCUCAAGAGAAUGGCCAAGAAGGUGGAUCUCCGGCGAGCCAAGGACGAUAAAGGGCAAACCGCACUUCAUUUCGCUGCGCAAGGGUGCCUGGACAGCUGCAAGUUCCUGGUGGAGGAAUCAGGGCUUGAUGUCGAUUCCGCCACGAAAACAGAUGUGACACCGAUGUUCUACGCCGCAUUUGGGGGAAAUGUCGAGGUUAUGAGGUACCUUCUCGACCGCGGCGCAGACCCAUCCACGGCCGAUGACAGGGGCUCUGUGUCAUUGCACAAUGCAGCAGAGGAAGGACACUGCGAGGCUGUGAGGCUAUUGCUGUUGAAAGGGGUUCAUGUGGAUCCUAUGGAUCAUCGGGGCACACCAUUACACUUGGCGGUUGCAAAGGACCAUGUUGAGGUUGUGAAGGUUCUGCUGGAGCAUGGUGCUAAUCCCAACAGAGUGGCUAAUCACGUCUUUUCACCACUCAUGAUGGCCGUCUGUGGAAAGGCCUUGAAAUGCAUGAAGCUACUGAUUGAGGCUGGCGCUGAUGUGAAUGUUCAUGGUUACUCUGGACCAACUCCUUUAACGGAGGCAGUUGAUGAUGGCUUAAUGGACUUUGUCAUGAUUUUACUAGAGGCUGGAGCCGACGCUAACAUCCCUAACCAGCAUGGCGCAGUUCCAAUUGAGCUAGCAGCAGCUCGUGGUCAACGUGAGCUUGUUGAAAUUCUGUUUCCUAAGACAAAACCCAUUCCAUCUCAGCCAGUUUGGAGCGUUAAUGGGAUAAUGAAUACUGCAAGAUCACCACGUAUCAAGCAUCAGGACGCAUCUUCUGUGGAACAACGGAUAGCUGAUUUGAAGUCACGAGGAAAGGAAGCAUUUGGAAAGGAAGACUAUAUUACAGCGAUGUACUUCUAUGGCCUGGUAAUGGAUAUAGACCCACUUGAUGCCACCAUGUUUGCUAACCGGAGCCUCUGCUGGCUGCGGAUGCGAGAAGGGGACAGAGCUUUGGAAGAUGCACGGCAAUGCAUAAUGAUGCGGCCCCAUUGGUCCAAGGCAUGGUACCGUGAGGGCAAAGCUCUCAGUUUCAUGAAGACGCGUUCCUGA
rnacentral:rRNA from 1 species